rnacentral:rRNA from 1 species
CCUACGGGCGGCAGCAGUGGGGAAUAUUGGACAAUGGGGGGAACCCUGAUCCAGCGACGCCGCGUGAGUGAAGAAGUAUUUCGGUAUGUAAACCUCUUUUGUCAGGGAGCAAGGUGCAGGUCGGGACCUGCUGUGAGAGUACCUGAAGAAAAAGCAUCGGCUAACUCCGUGCCAGCAGCCGCGGUAAUACGGAGGAUGCGAGCGUUAUCCGGAUUUAUUGGGUUUAAAGGGUGCGCAGGCGGAGGCACAAGUCAGCGGUAAAAUCGCGGGGCUCAACCCCGCUCCGCCGUUGAAACUGUGUCCCUUGAGUGCGCGAAGGGUAGGCGGAAUGCGUGGUGUAGCGGUGAAAUGCAUAGAUAUCACGCAGAACUCCGAUCGCGAAGGCAGCCUACCGGCGCGCAACUGACGCUCAUGCACGAAAGCGUGGGUAUCGAACAGGAUUAGAUACCCCGGUAGUC